AACACAACAACUACUUAACAUGUUUUUUACUUUAACUACUUUGACCUUGUGCUAUUUAUUUUGUCCACAUGUGUCAGCCUCCUCCAGUCUCAGAGAAACAAUCAGAGCUCUGCUACAGACCAAGAUGAAAAUCAACAGCCAGUAUACUCGUCUCUUCUCCACGGUGACAUUUGUGUCUAUGAAUCAAUCAGAGGCUCUGGGAAUGGUGGGAAUGGUGGACAGGCAGA